rnacentral:lncRNA from 1 species
AUCCUAUUCAUGAAGCUGAUGACCAUGACGAGAAGAAAUACACAGCAGAAGAGAAAGUGGUGGAGGAGGAGGAAGAAACAAAAAAGAGUGUUCAAGAGAGGAAGCAAGAAAUUGAAAAAAGGCUCUCUUUGAGCAAAAACAUCGAUGUUAUCCUAGACCAAAAGCCAUCAGAAAAAAGGAAGUCUCUUAUUGCAAGCGACUCUCAAAGCAGUGACAAAGAGAAGGAACCGUGGAAGAAAAAGGGUGUCCGUUGUAGACCCAGAUGUAGGAAAUUUGGCAGACGAACUUGCAGAUUUGACAUUCGAGCAGAAAAGAUUGUCCUUUGAAAAAGGUGCAUCUCUGGAAAAGAAGAAAUCCGAGGAAAAACCUCUAGAUUGCGUCCAAACAUCCUUUGACAAAGGAGUGUCUCUAGAAAGAAAAAUCUCUGUAGAUAAACCGUCGGAAGUUUCAAAACCUACCUCAGAGCCCAGGAUAUCAGAAGAUAAAGUGGAACAAUCCGGUGGAAAAGUUUCUGACUCAAUCAAAACUGAGAGUGCAAAAAUAAUCGAGGCAGAAAAGCAAACGACGGAACAAGGAAAAUCCCAAGCUUCAACAGAAACUGAAGAGAAGCAAUUGAGCUUUCAAGAAAAGAGACUCUCCUUUGAGCGCGGGUUAUCACAGACUAGCAUCACACCAGUUUUAAAGGACAAGACGGAAAUCAGCGUAGAAACCAAAGAAACUGGACCAACAGCAGAGGAAAAAAGAAGAAAUUCAGUGCUUUUUGAAGGUGUGAGUCAAGGCCUGGAAAAGCUUGACACAACCCCAGACAAAUUCAGUCAACCUCCACAGGAUCUUUUAUCCCCCAAAGUUGUGAAGACACCACCACCAAGCCCAGCAGAGUUCAAGGACCCUGCGUGGAGUAACUCAUCAUCACAAUCGUCACAAGAAGGAAAAGUACUGGAUGUUGACGGGGCAGCACAAGGUAAGAUUUUCAAAUCUUUUGCUCAAUCUAUUGUGUGA